rfam:Ktedonobacter sp. 13_2_20CM_2_54_8 13_2_20cm_2_scaffold_48121, whole genome shotgun sequence.
GAGAGCCGUGUGCAUUGAAAGGUGCAUGCACGGUUCGGGGAGGCGGAUAAUUAGGAGUGUGCCAAAGUAGCACGCUGGUUAUCUACUCUAC